GAUGAACGCUAGCUACAGGCUUAACACAUGCAAGUCGAGGGGCAGCGGUAUCGAAAGCUUGCUUUCGGUAGCCGGCGACCGGCGCACGGGUGAGUAACGCGUAUCGAACCUGCCUCAUACUCGGGAAUAGCCUUGCGAAAGUAAGAUUAAUGCCCGGUGUUUUCAGAGUCCCGCAUGAGGCUUUGAACAAAGAUUUAUCGGUAUGAGAUGGCGAUGCGUCCCAUUAGCUUGUUGGCGGGGUAACGGCCCACCAAGGCAUCGAUGGGUAAGGGUUCUGAGAGGAAGGUCCCCCACAAUGGAACUGAGACACGGUCCAAACUCCUACGGGAGGCAGCAGUGAGGAAUAGUGGUCAAUGGGCGGAAGCCUGAACCAGCCAAGUAGCGUGCAAGAAGACGGCCCUCCGGGUUGUAAACUGCUUUUAGUUGGGAAUAAAACGGGGCUCGUGAGCCCCCUUGCAUGUACCAUCAGAAAAAGGACCGGCUAAUUCCGUG
rnacentral:rRNA from 1 species